CGGGGUUUUAUAGUUCAGUUUA
rnacentral:miRNA from 14 species